rfam:Metagenome sequence AHAA4190.g1, whole genome shotgun sequence.
CGAUCUGGUAACAGUGGUUGAAGAGGAAUCAGCCGAUGGCAUAGUAGGGUAUCGACCAUACCUGAAGGCC